CACGGGACAAUCCGAGGUGAGCCUGGUCUGACACUAAUGGCAUGCUGCACCUUCUGGUAGUGCCGGAGAAUU
rfam:Angomonas deanei Cont14292, whole genome shotgun sequence.